UUUCUCUUUCUUCUUCUUCUUCUUCUUCUUCUUCUCUGCUCCUUGUUCAUCCUGCUAGAGAUUUCUGAGUUGAGAGUGAGAGACGAUCGAAUAAACUCUAUGGUGGAGUUGUAUAAAGGAUAGAUAGUCGAGGUUGUUGUUGGUUUAUCUUAAUAGGAAGAAGAAACGAUGAUUGAAAAGAAUUUAGAAUCUAGGGUUUCUGAAUCUGGUUUCAAGAUUCAAUUGAAGAUGAAUUUGAUGUUAAAGAGGGUGAUUUGAAAUGGGUAUUGAGGGAUUAAACGAAUUAGGGUUUGGAAUUGAAGAAUAACUCGAAAUGAAUAAUUAUGGUUUAAGCAGCGAUUCGGGAAUUCAAGAUGAAGUUAAUUGAAAGGAUGAGUUGAAGCUGUCCUGGUGAUGAAUCUGCAUAGCAAGAUUCUUUGUGAGAAUGGGAAUUCCAGAUUAGGGUUUUGCAUGUUCUUCCCCAAAUUAGUGAGUCAGUGGAUUAGAUUCUAAAGAGAACUUAGAUUAAAUGGUAGAGAUGAAGAUUUUGAUUGGGUUAUAAGAAGGUGAUGGAACUAUUAUGAGUCUUGAACUGGUUGGUGCUUGAGCAAAGCUUAUCUGAGGUAAUUGAUCUUCUCUGUAGUUUAAUUAAGUUAUUCAAUUCAAUUUUUGAAAUUAUGAAAUAAUUGGGAAGCUAGGAACUGAGUGAUUAUGGUGAGUGGGUUGAUGAACUGAGUUGCCGGUGGAAUGAGAUGGUGUUGUAGGAAGAGAAUUUAUGCAGUUCAUUCUUUAGCUGCAGUUAUUGGAUUUGGUUGUGCUGGUGGUGGUUUUCCUGAGUUAAACUAAUUGAGCUGAAGUGAUGAGUUUAGAUGACUGUUGGGCCUAAUAGUUACCACAGUGAAGAUUUGAGUUAAAUGAUGAAAUGUAGAAGAUGUUGGUGGAGCUGUAAUUGUAAUUGAGUUGGUGUUCUGUGUAGAAUUGAAUGUAGUUAUAAUAUUUUGUGGUGUUGAUGGUUGGUGGUCUUAGUUGGGGUUGUAAUUGCAGAACUGAAGGGGAUAAUUUUUGGUGGUUGUUUGAUUCAGAAAAUGUGUUGGUGGAAUGUUGUGUUGAUGGUGGAUCAGCUCAGGUACAGAUUAACUAGAAUUGUAGUUGAAAUUCAGAACAAAGAAAUGAGGUUGUGUUGUUGAGUAUGGAAUGAGUAUGUAAUGAAGUUGAAGUUUAUAACUUGGAGUGUGUCGAGUUACAAGUAAUAUAGAAUUGGUGCAGAUAUAAUUGAUAGUGAUGAUUGUGUAAUCAAUGGAUAGUCUCUUCGAAAGCUGUUGCUAUUGCAAUUGCAGGUAAACUUAGGUUGCAUUGUAAUUGGAAUUUGAAGUUUAUUGAAUGAUUCAAUUCAUGUAUUUUAGUUUGAAA